UGGGGAAUUUUGGACAAUGGGCGAAAGCCUGAUCCAGCAAUGCCGCGUGUGUGAAGAAGGCCUUCGGGUUGUAAAGCACUUUUGUCCGGAAAGAAAUGGCUCUGGUUAAUACCUGGGGUCGAUGACGGUACCGGAAGAAUAAGGACCGGCUAACUACGUGCCAGCAGCCGCGGUAAUACGUAGGGUCCAAGCGUUAAUCGGAAUUACUGGGCGUAAAGCGUGCGCAGGCGGUUGUGCAAGACCGAUGUGAAAUCCCCGAGCUUAACUUGGGAAUUGCAUUGGUGACUGCACGGCUAGAGUGUGUCAGAGGGGGGUAGAAUUCCACGUGUAGCAGUGAAAUGCGUAGAGAUGUGGAGGAAUACCGAUGGCGAAGGCAGCCCCCUGGGAUAACACUGACGCUCAUGCACGAAAGCGUGGGGAGCAAACAGGAUUAGAUACCCUGGUAGUCCACGCCCUAAACGAUGUCAACUAGUUGUUGGGAUUCAUUUCCUUAGUAACGUAGCUAACGCGUGAAGUUGACCGCCUGGGGAGUACGGUCGCAAGA
rnacentral:rRNA from 1 species